rnacentral:rRNA from 1 species
GACGAACGCUGGCGGCGUGCCUAAUACAUGCAAGUUGAGCGAUGAAGAUUGGUGCUUGCACCAAUUUGAAGAGCAGCGAACGGGUGAGUAACGCGUGGGGAAUCUGCCUUUGAGCGGGGGACAACAUUUGGAAACGAAUGCUAAUACCGCAUAACAACUUUAAACAUAAGUUUUAAGUUUGAAAGAUGCAAUUGCAUCACUCAAAGAUGAUCCCGCGUUGUAUUAGCUAGUUGGUGAGGUAAAGGCUCACCAAGGCGAUGAUACAUAGCCGACCUGAGAGGGUGAUCGGCCACAUUGGGACUGAGACACGGCCCAAACUCCUACGGGAGGCAGCAGUAGGGAAUCUUCGGCAAUGGACGAAAGUCUGACCGAGCAACGCCGCGUGAGUGAAGAAGGUUUUCGGAUCGUAAAACUCUGUUGGUAGAGAAGAACGUUGGUGAGAGUGGAAAGCUCAUCAAGUGACGGUAACUACACAGAAAGAGACGGCUAACUACGUG